GGACUGGUAUUGACGCUGAGGUGCGUAAGAGUGGGGAGCAAACAGGAUUAGAUAGCCCGGUAGUCCACGCCGUAAACGAUGAAUGCUAGCCGUUGGCGGGCUUGCCCGUCAGAGGAGCAGCUAACGCUUUAGGCAUUCCGCCUGGGGAGUACGGUCGCAAGAUUAAAACUCACAGGAAUUGACGGGGGCCCGCACAAGCGGAGGACCGUGUGGUUCAAUUCCAAGCAACGCGCAGAACCUUACCAGCGU
rnacentral:rRNA from 1 species